rnacentral:rRNA from 1 species
GACGAACGCUGGCGGCGUGCUUAACACAUGCAAGUCGAACGGAAAGGCCUCUUUCGGGGGGUACUAGAGUGGCGAACGGGUGAGUAACACGUGAGUAACCUGCCCUUGACUUUGGGAUAACUUCAGGAAACUGGGGCUAAUACCGGAUAGGAGCUCCUGCUGCAUGGUGGGGGUUGGAAAGUUUCGGCGGUUGGGGAUGGACUCGCGGCUUAUCAGCUUGUUGGUGGGGUAGUGGCUUACCAAGGCUUUGACGGGUAGCCGGCCUGAGAGGGUGACCGGCCACAUUGGGACUGAGAUACGGCCCAGACUCCUACGGGAGGCAGCAGUGGGGAAUAUUGCACAAUGGGUGGAAGCCUGAUGCAGCAACGCCGUGUGCGGGAUGACGGCCUUCGGGUUGUAAACCGCUUUCGCCUGUGACGAAGCGUGAGUGACGGUAAUGGGUAAAGAAGCACCGGCUAACUACGUG